AGGGACUUGAAAUUUGGCUUUGGGACCGAUCUGGGACUUUCAAUGCCUUCAAACUCCCUGGUUUUGGCCAAGUCAGGUGCUUCUGCAGAUGUGCUGAGGAGGUUUGCCCUGAAGUUUGUUUGGAAUUUGUGCAUCCCUUCAGGCUUCAGGAAGGAAGGAAGGAGGAUUCCUCCCUCCCAGGGCAGGUUGGCAGCCUGAUCUGCCAGAAUCCACCUGUGCUCAGCACAGCACGAGUCUAGAGCAUCUGCUCAGACAGAAUGGACCUUGUUAAACCCAGCUGCCAGGAGAAGGUGGAAUGGAAAGUGGGAGUUACUGUCCCUGCUCAUCGCAGGGGAUUGGACUAAAUGACCUUUAAAGGUCUCUCCCAAGCCAAACUAUUCUAUGAUUUUUCUUGGACUCUCCAUCUCAGGAGCAAGGUGGCAGCAGAAAGGGUGUGAACUUGAUAUUCUCAGCUGGAAGAAAGCCAAGAGGAUGAUUCCUCAGGAAAGCCACGGGAAUGGACACGAUGGAGCUUCACGCCGUGUCCUACAGGGGCUGGCAUAGCUGUCACUGCACAGAGCCGGAGCAGGAGGGGUGGUCACUUCUCCAGAGGAGCAGUUCCAUGGCAAACAACAGCAUUUAUUGAUGGAACACCUGAUAAAUGCCAAGUGACCGUGGGGGAGAGGCGUGUGCUCCACACGGACACUUCCAAACCAGAGGCUGCCCUUGGCUGCCUUCCAGCCCGGCUCCAAGCCCAAUGAGUUGGAGGCACAGAUGAUGCCAAAAACUCCCUGGAGCUCCCAGUGCAGAGUUUGUAGUCCCCUUUUCCCCCCUCCCCCUGUCCCCACGCUUGAUGUUGCAUAGCAGCAAAUCCUCCUCUACAAGCCUGGAUUCUAAUUGCACAACAUCUGUUCCCAUAAUGGCCUGCAAGAGCAUUGUUGUCCUCUGUGUUAUUCAGGCCACUACAAGCACCUCUUAUCACAACGCCUUGCCAGAACAUGACACAGAAUCUGUCAAAUUUCAUUUCUUAGUACCUCAAAUCCCUAUGUGUCUGCUUGGAACAGCCUGUCCUCCAACCUCUGCUGGCUUUCCCAGCAGCUUUUCUCAGCUCCCUCAAGCUACCACGGUGUUUUUGGUUCCCUGAACACAGAGAUACUUCAGAAGGAUUCCAAGCUCCAGGUGGAAUGCUCUGGCACAAGUAUUUUUUAGAUUGAAAUGGUGGGAUUCGUUUUCCUGUGGCUGUCAAUAAAUGAAUUCACUCUUUACGUGCA
rnacentral:lncRNA from 1 species